GGCCAUGCGAUCCGCCGCGCGGAGGGGACGCGCCGCGCCCGCCGCCAGGGACUCUUUGCCGGUGCUACUGUUUUUAUGCUCGCUUCUGAAGACGUGUGAACCUAAAACUGCAAAUGCCUUUAAACCAAAUAUCCUACUGAUCAUGGCGGAUGAUCUAGGCAUUGGGGAUCUCGGUUGCUAUGGGAACAAUACACUGAGAACGCCGAAUAUUGACCAGCUUGCAGAGGAAGGUGUGAGGCUCACUCAGCACCUGGCGGCCGCCCCGCUCUGCACCCCAAGCCGAGCUGCAUUCCUCACAGGGAGACAUUCCUUCAGAUCAGGCAUGGACGCCAGCAAUGGAUACCGGGCCCUUCAGUGGAACGCAGGCUCAGGUGGACUCCCUGAGAACGAAACCACUUUUGCAAGAAUCUUGCAGCAGCAUGGCUAUGCAACUGGCCUCAUAGGUGUGGAUAUGUGGGAGCCUCACAUUAUACGGUGGUUGGGAAUAUUCGUGAUAAAAAAGAUCCCAGGCCAGGCGUGGUGGCGCACGCCUGUAAUCCCAGCUACUUAGGAGGCUGAGGCAGGAGAAUCGCUUGAACCCGGGAAGUGGAGGUUGCAGGGAGCCGAGAUCACACCACUGCACUCCAGUCUAGGUGACAAAGCGAGACUCUGUCUCAAAGAAUA
rnacentral:sRNA from 1 species